rnacentral:rRNA from 1 species
CACGUAGGGCGCAAGCGUUGUCCGGAAUUAUUGGGCGUAAAGAGCUCGUAGGCGGUCUGUUGCGUCUGCUGUGAAAACUCGGGGCUUAACCCCGAGCCUGCAGUGGAUACGGGCAGACUAGAGGUAGGUAGGGGAGAAUGGAAUUCCCGGUGUAGCGGUGGAAUGCGCAGAUAUCAGGAGGAACACCGAUGGCGAAGGCAGGUCUCUGGGCCGCAACUGACGCUGAGGAGCGAAAGCAUGGGGAGCGAACAGG